rnacentral:rRNA from 1 species
GAACGCUGGCGGCGUGCUUAACACAUGCAAGUCGAACGAUGAAGUUCCUUCGGGAAUGGAUUAGUGGCGAACGGGUGAGGAACACGUGAAGAAUCUGCCCUCCACUUUGGGAUAACACCGGGAAACCGGUGCUAAUACCGAAUAUUGAAAUAUAAGUGGCAUCACUGAAUUUUGAAAGAAUUUCGGUGGAGGAUGACUUCGCGGCCUAUCAGCUUGUUGGUGAGGUAAUGGCUCACCAAGGCGACGACAGGUAUCCGGCCUGAGAGGGCGACCGGACACACUGGGACUGAGACACGGCCCAGACUCCUACGGGAGGCAGCAGUGGGGAAUAUUGGGCAAUGGACGAAAGUCUGACCCCGCGACGCCGCGUGAGGGAUGAAGGC